CAAUGAAUAAGAAGUGAUGCCUUCAGACUUCAAGUGUGAAGCAUGUCAGAUUGUAUUGUCUGUAAAUGUCCUCUUUAUUAAUUUUUCUGUUCAAUGACAACUUUCACAUUCCUCCUCAGCCAAUAGUGUGAGUUUGUGGCAUGGCUAGUGUACGAGGCAGGCUGAGCCAAAACAUGCAGCUCAAGCCAAAAAAUUGCAGAUUUGCCAAAACAUGAUCCGAACAGUGGGAGAAAACAAUGAUGUUCUUACAAGAUGAAGGAAUUUGAUGACAUGCUGGGUUAAGAGCUGAACUUGAGUUUCUUCUUAAAACGCUUACAUCAAGAAUGAAGAUGAUACCUACCAUAUUGAAGAAACAUAGACACCAAGC
rnacentral:lncRNA from 1 species